CAGUAGCCGCGGUAAAACGGAGGAUCCGAGCGUUAUCCGGAAUUAUUGGGUUUAAAGGGUGCGUAGGCGGAUAGAUAAGUCAGUGGUGAAAGACGGUGGCUCAACCAUCGCAGUGCCGUUGAUACUGUUUAUCUUGAAUAUGGAUGAGGUAGGCGGAAUGUGGCAAGUAGCGGUGAAAUGCAUAGAUAUGCCACAGAACACCGAUUGCGAAGGCAGCUUACCAAGGCAAAAUUGACGCUGAGGCACGAAAGCGUGGGGAUCGAACAGGAUUAGAUACCCGUGUAGUCCCUGUCUCUUAUAC
rnacentral:rRNA from 1 species